rnacentral:lncRNA from 1 species
AUUUACAAGUACUAUGAUUCAUUUUUGAUCAUAUACAUUGCAUCCAUGUACAUUCAUGAUUCUUGUACUUCAUUACACAUUACAUCAUUUCUUUCUUACAUCACAUUUACCUCAAAAUAAGCUUUACAUUCUUUUCUCAACAUCACUAGUCAUCAAAUACAAAGAUGAACAAAGGGUAUUCUACCAACAAAAUGUAAACCCAACUCAACUCUGGUGGCCUUUGUCUAAGACGCGAUACCUUUACCUCGGUCGCUCGCCGGCUCGCUCGGUCCCGGCUCUAUAGAAAUAGUGGGGUGAGAACUAUAACAAAGUUCCCAGUGGAUUCGGCCUCAACAUCACCGACUUUCCCACUAGGACUAACUCAGGCAUAAUAGAAAGAAUAAGCUGCAUAUAGUAACCAAUCUAUACAUG